CAAAUGACUCUCGGCAACGGAUAUCUCGGCUCACGCAUCGAUGAAGAACGUAGCAAAAUGCGAUACUUGGUGUGAAUUGCAGAAUCCCGUGAACCAUCGAGUUUUUGAACGCAAGUUGCGCCCGAAGCCUUUUGGUCGAGGGCACGUCUGCCUGGGCGUCACGC
rnacentral:rRNA from 1 species